UACAUUCUAGUAAGGGGAGUGUAGCCUGUGACUACAUUCUGUGACCUUCAGCCCUCAAAGAAACCCUACACUGGCACAAAUUAAAGCUACUGCCCUAUUCCUUCUCACACGCAUGCCCUACCACCACCACCCAGCCAGAAGUCAAAUACUACCAAACCCUGCUACAGGCUGCCUGAAGUUCAUGAUGGAAAGGUUAUCCACUUUAUCUGAAAGACCUUAGGGUAAAACCUGCAAAUCAAUCAUGACCAGAGAUGGAAUGAGAGGCAUCCAUGGAAGGGAGACGACUAAACAAGUCAUGUAAGCUGCAUCUCUGGUUCUUCAAAUUGAGGAAAAGGACACUGACCCACCCACUUCCCUAGGGAGCUUAGGAGUCUGGAAUAAAAUAAUGUGAAAAGAAGAUUUGGUGGAGUGACUUGACACGGUUCACAGAACUUUGCAGAAUCCUACCAAAUGACAGGAAUCGCCCGGGGAUGAGCUCAACACAUACUCCACCAUGCUAACGCCUAGUCCCCCACUCUCCGAUCGUGGGGACAGUACAGAAUUGACCUCACUGUUCACAUGGAAACUCUGACCAGGUCUUCUCUGCACCAUGAUUGGCUGGGAAACUGAAUGAUCUACAAAAAAGAUACACAAGCAUGAUACAGUGCAGCCAGAGGCUCAAACAAAUUAUGAGUGAUGUCUCAUGGAUAAACCAAUGACUGGGAAUCAGGAAGUCUGCCAUGGUCAGGGAGUGUGUACAAGAAAGAAUGCCGGCAGAAAGACACCUCACUUGGAUAAUUUUCAUAUUAAUAGUGGAUGUUCUCCAUAUAAUAACGGAAAGAUAGCUGAAGAGAUCAAAAUAUAUUCAGUAUGGUGCUCAUCCCUCUUCACACCGAUUUGGAAAUCUUCACUGAAAGUUCAAGGAAAAGGUGCUUCAGGGAACACCCUCCAGAUGCAAAUACAGGCUUACUGACUGAAAACAGCAGCCCUUUAACUAACUCAAGGCUUCAAAAAAGUCUUCUGGAAUCCUGUCAUCUUUCACUGUAGUUUGCCAGGCUAACACGCAAAGCCAGCAAAAGCAGGUAAACAUGUAAACAAGGCAGGUUCCAGGCCAAAUUCUCUCAAAAGGAAACAACAACACAACAAACAUGUAAAAGGUGCUAAAAAGUGAAGACUCUACUUCAAAGUAGUAACAGAUGUAACAAGUCUCAAAGAAAGACACACCAAAACCCCCAAGACCCUAGUAGAAUACAAAAAGGCAACACUGUCUCCCAUUAUUAACCACUGCUAUAAAUAUAAAUCCCACACAGAGAUUUAUAGGAGCAGCCCCAAAGGUGCUAGAACUCCACAUGUUGGGCAGUCAAUUAGCUAUUAUCACUGAAAACAGCUUGGACUGAAAGGGCAAAGUGUGUACGAGAUAAAGAAAAGGAGGUGGGAGGAAGGUGCUAGCAUGCCAAUUCUGGGAAGGGGAAAGGUGGAACCCAUGGGCUGCCAAGAGUGCUCUGCGAAUGGAAGAAAAUUUAAAUACUGACCCAAGGGAUGUGGGCAAAGACAGAAGUAAACAUAGCAAAGCUCUUCCAAAUCUCUGGAUCUUUCACAGAACCUAGUAUUUCUCAUUUUCCUCCAAAACAUAACCAUCUCCACCCCUCACCUGUGUGGUAAACAGCAUCAGAAGGGACUCCUAAUGACCUCUGCCUCCUGGUACUCAUGCCCUUAUAUAAUCCCCAUCCCUUUAUAUCCCUUAUUCUCUAAGAAAUAACACAUAGUAAGAGUGAUAGCAUGCCACUUUCAAGAUAUACAAAAAAUUGACUACCCAUCUUGUUUCUUUCCCUUGCCCUCUUGCUCUCAUCUCACUUGCCCUCUUCCUUGCUCACUUUGACAAAGCUCACUGCUAUGUUGUGACCUGCCAUACAGAGAAGUUUACAUAGCAAUAAAUAAAUAAAUAAAUAAAUAAAUAAAUAAAUAAAUAAAUAAAUAAAUAAAUAAAUAAAUAAAUAAAUAAAAUAAGGAGAGAUCAUGGGUCA